AAGUAAUUUCUAUAUUUUUGAAUGACUUAAGAAAGUAGAGCGAUAUUUAAAAGUUGACUUAAGAAAAAGCGCCCUGCAUUGCAAUAUAAUGUUUCAAUUGUCUACAUAAAAUACAAUUAAAUGAAUUAAGUAAUGAUAUCAGUAAAAGAUGACAAUUUUAUGUAUUACAGAAAAUCUAAAAAUCAGAAAUCUAUGAAUGUCAGAAAAAUCAAAUAUAGCAGUUUAAAACAAACAGUGUAGGCAUAUCCUCUCUGCAGCCAGGCUUCAAAAUCCUGCCAGGCUGCCCCAGUCUCACUGUGGCUGGGAGGGAGGGAGGGUGGACCAGAGGAUUGCCCACACAACAAAUAAAUGUUCAACAGCUUCUUCAUUGUUUCUGAGAGAACAACACAGACUAAAGGUUGCUUUUAAAAAAAAUAAAAAAAAUAAAAAUCUAAUUACAGCAAUAAUGACAGUUAAGCCAGUUUAUCUGUGCCUCUAUUUUGAAAUAAUAUUUACAAAAAUGUUAUUGAUUUCAGUUUGUUAUAAUCUUUAAACUUUUUCAAAAGUAUAUUAUUAUAUUUUUGGACAAAUCUUUCAAUGAAACAUACAUUUUUAUGAGCUUUUAUCAUGUUUCAGCCAGUGCAUUUAUCAGGGUGGGUCUGGGUCUGGGAUGAUAAAUGCACUGGCUGAUAACUGCACAUUUCUGGCCAGAAAUGUUUCAGCAGUGUUACAUAUGCACUACAUAUGUUAAACUUGCUUUUUGUUACCAGUUGAUACCCUACAUUUGUAUAGACAUUGGGUGGUGUGAGGCUGGGGAGUUGAGUGGAGUGGGUAGGUGGGAGUUGAAUGUGGGGGGGUACGGUGGGAGGUUGUUAGGUUUCUUUUUUUUUUUUUUUUUUUUUGUUAAGAGAGACACAGUCCUCCUGUGUCUUCUCCAAGCUUCACAUGGUAAAUCCAACAGUGUGAAGCACAUAGCAGCCAGAAACUGUAAUGCCACAGAUCAGAGAGGCUUCAUCAUCACCAUCUUCGCCGUACGAUCAGAGCAUGAGACUUCACAUCUGGAGCACAGGAGAGAUUCUGUGAUAAGUCCUCCUUCUAGCUUGUCCCACAAGCAGUCGAGCUGAGACACUCAGGACUGAACAGACUGCACAGUUUCUGUGACUGAGCCUCCAAAACAUCUUCUUUGAAACCACACAUGAUAGAAGGGCUUUAUAUUUGCAGCAGCACUACUAAAGGUAUUCAGUUUAUUACAGGAUGUGUUUGUUUCUUAGGACCAGCUCUAAGUGCACACUACCUAACAUAUACACCUUUCUGUUCAUUACAAACCAACUACUCUGGAUCAUAUGGCCAGUCGGCAGGAAUGUUGCUGCAGGAAAACAUCCCUGCAGAUCACCAUCAUUGUCAGACUGACUGUGCCUCCUCUGUGCAGUGUCAAGAUCCUCCCUAAAUGAGUGUGUAAGUUCAUUAUUUUAUUCCCUAUGACAAGACAAGUAUCACUGAUAUUUACAUUUACAACUACAUAUGUUCCUGUUUUCUGCUCUUCUUUUAAAGUCCUCAGCUAUCCUGCUUCUGUGCUGCUUGCCACACAUCAAACACUGGCCGGAUGACAGGGAGGAUCCACUCUGAAGUCACUGGACAUGAUGAGGAUCAUAUGGGACUUUAUAGUUUCACAGAAAUGUUGUGCUCUUUGAUUACAGGUUUUAAAUGGACAUAAUGACUGCCUCUCUCUGAUCUGACAGGCUAAAGGAUUGUUUUCAUUGUUAGUGCUCUGUACAGUGUAUGCUUAUUUAAUAUUUCAUCACAGAGCAAACCUUUAUUUAUUUAACAUAUUUUUAUUUUGUUUUAAUGUUGAAUUAACUGUGGGGAUUUUUUUAAGUGGGCACUCGGGAUGUCAUAUGACCAGAAAUGUGGUAACUGGAAUUCAACAGUAUGUAAAGAAAGAAUCUGCUAAGAACAUAACACACACAAAAAACCCCAAGAGAACUCAAAUUCGUUCCAUGUAAUCCAAUCUAAAACAUUUUAAACUGCUGAACAGCAACACAAACAGUGUUAAAGAAACAGUGUUAACAGAAUAAUUAUGAUGAGUUUGUACCAAAGUUUCAGGUCACAUGGCACACCUAGUGUGUAGUGUGGGGUAUCAGCUGGUAAGUAUAGGUUUUUUCAUAUUUGUGUCCUUAGAGUUCAGAUAGAUAAAGCCUUGUGUAUAAUAAUUAGUCAUAACCACAACUCAAAGUCAGGGACUAACUAAAUUUGGGACUUCGUGUCUGAGCCCAGGUUAAAACACAGUGUUAAAAAGCAUUUAGUGGCAUGGCUGAACAAUGCUGUAAACUAAUGAUACUUAUUUAUCCAUGUUCACAAAAAGGACUAAUGUGUUCAUUUGAUUAUUUGUAUGUGUUAAACUGUGUCACCACCUUAGGCUUUCGUUUGAGUUCACUCAAAAAUCUCUAUACAGUUCUCUUUUACCACUGUGUGGACACUGUUUACAAUAAAACAUAAAAAAGAAUGAGUAAUAAAAAGAUGUGUAGACAGAUCAGUGGAUUCAGUAGACCAAUAUUAACAGCUGUUCAGCCAUGUUCUACGAAACAAACACAAUUUAAAGGUUCAGGAUUGUGAUUUUAAAAGUUGAAUUUUCAUGUAUUUCAUAUGUUGCUUAUUAUUUUUAUUUGGUUAUUUAAUUUAGUUAUUUUUAUUUAUUCUCCUGUGAAGUGUUUAGCAAAAAAAGCUACUUUAAUUUCAAUUUUAUUUGUUUAUUAUUUGGUAAUUUGUUCUUUAAGAAUCGAGUCUGUGCCAAAAACUAAAGUUGAACAGACACAUGACAGGAUCAGAUUAUUAACACCUUAAAACAUUGCGUCUCUUUUUAAAAUGAUUUUUAUUUUUAUUCUAUUUCGAAAAAAAAAACAUUUGUUGAAUUAAUUUAAGUCCUUUUCAGAAAGAAGCUGUACAAUAUGACUUAAGAUUUUUAUGUUAUUUUCUAUGAUAUACAAAACAAAUUGAUGUAUGGAAUACCAUUAAACAUGAUAUACACAUAUGUAUGUGUCUGAAAAACAUUAUGCUGUAUAUUAAAGCUUGUAUUUUCUCCAGCAUGUUUGUUCAUCUUUUCAGUUCAAUUCAACAAAUUUGUUUUUACAUUUAUUUUUAUUAUUUUUUUAUGAAUUAGAGAUUUAUAAUACAUAAUUCCACUCUUUAAGUGAUUAGAAGAAUAUGAACUUUUGUUAUUCAUUCAGAGGUUUUCUGACUAAAUUUUCUUUUGUCAUUACUCAUCUUUUUCUAAUUUAUAUUUUAAACAUGUUCAGCUAUUUUCCAACUUCUUCUGUGUGAAAAUCAGCUUUCAAAAGUUCUGCACUUUUGUUUUCAGGUUAAAAAUUCUGUAUUUUCUAGCUAAUUCAGCAUUUUUAGCUUAAUAUUAAGUAAUGAUUUCAUUUCAGUGCAUACAUUCAGAUUCAAGCAUUCACACUGCAGUUUCUUCAGAAAAUGCACUUUCUAGUUAGUGUGAAUGCUUAUAAAAGCAUUCACAGUAUUGUUGUUGUAAUCUUUAUUCUAUUUUAUUAUUAGUGUGAAUGCUUGUAAAAGCAUUCACAGUAUUGUUCUUCUAAUCUUUAUUAGUGUGAAUGCUUGUAAAAGCAUUCACAGUAUUGUUGUUGUAAUCUUUAUUAGUGUGAAUGCUUGUAAAAGCAUUCACAGUAUAGUUGUUGUAAUCUUUAUUAUUCUUUUUUAUUAUUAUUAUCUAUUCCGUAUGUUUCUUGUACUCCUACUACUUCAAA
ensembl:lncRNA